rnacentral:rRNA from 1 species
AUUGAACGCUGGCGGCAGGCUUAACACAUGCAAGUCGAGCGAGCGGCGGAGGGGUGAGUGGUGUCUGGGAACCUGCCUGAUCGAGGGAUCUAACUGCUGGAAAACGUGGCUAAUGCCGCAUAAGGUCAGUUGUGGCCUGAUGGGAUUAGCUAGUAGGUGGGGUAAUGGCUCACCUAGGCGUCGAGCCCUAGCUGGUCUGAGAGGAUGACCAGCCACACUGGAACUGAGACACGGUCCAGACUCCUACGGGAGGCAGCAGUGGGGAAUAUUGCACAAUGGGCGCAAGCCUGAUGCAGCCAUGCCGCGUGUGUGAAGAAGGCCUUCGGGUCGUAAAGCACUUUCAGCGAGGAGGCGUUACUCGCAGAGGAAGCACCGGCUAACUACGUGCCAGCAGCCGCGGUAAUAC